CAAUAGCGUAUAUUAAAGUUGUUGCAGUUAAAAAGCUCGUAGUUGGAUUUCUGGUGGGAGCGAUCGGUCUGGCGCUUAUCGCGAGUACUUGCAUCGUCUCCGGCCAUCCUUGGGGAGAGUCUGUCUGGCAUUAGGUUGUCGGGCAGAGGAUCCUCAUCGUUUACUGUGAAAAAAUUAGAGUGUUCAAAGCAGGCUUAUGCCGUUGAAUAUAUUAGCAUGGAAUAAUAAGAUAGGACUUUGGUACUAUUUUGUUGGUUUGCGCACCAAAGUAAUGAUUAAUAGGGACAGUUGGGGGUAUUCGUAUUCCGUUGUCAGAGGUGAAAUUCUUGGAUUUACGGAAGACGAACUACUGCGAAAGCAUUUACCAAGGAUGUUUUCAUUAA
rnacentral:rRNA from 1 species